AACGAUAUGGAAUAUAACACACACAUACUUUAUUUCAAAAAUAUAGUAAAAAUAUUUAUUAAUUAUAUUUGGGUUUAUAGUUUACUGAUUAGGGUUUUGGGUAGAGUUUUAGCGGCUGUGGAAAAGUUUAAUAUGCAGGGGUGAAAAAUCAGGUUGGGAUCCUAUCAUACUUUUAAAUAUAGGGUUUAGUGAUUGAGAUUUAGGGUUUAGUAUUUAGAAUGUGAAAUAUAUAGUUGGGGCCAUCAUUAACUUUUUCCAUGAAACAAUAGACAUUUU
rnacentral:lncRNA from 1 species